rnacentral:rRNA from 1 species
GACUACAGGGGUAUCUAAGCCUGUUCGCUCCCCACGCUUUCGCGCCUCAGCGUCAGUUACGGCCCAGCAAGUCGCCUUCGCCACUGGUGUUCCUCCCAAUCUCUACGCAUUUCACCGCUACACUGGGAAUUCCACUUGCCUCUUCCGCACUCAAGCCAACCAGUCUCCAAAGCAAUUCCCACCUUGAAAGCAGGACUUUCACUCCAGACUUAAUCGGCCGCCUACACGCCCUUUACGCCCAGUCAUUCCGGACAACGCUUGCCCCCUACGUAUUACCGCGGCUGCUGGCACGUAGUUAGCCGGGGCUUCCUCCUUGGCUACCGUCAUUUUUUUCGUCACCAAGGACAGAGGUUUACAAUCCGAGAACCUUCUUCCCUCACGCGGCGUUGCUGGGUCAGGCUUUCGCCCAUUGCCCAAUAUUCCCCACUGCAGCCCCCCGUAGG